GAAUAUGAGGGUGAUCUGGCUGCAACAUCUGUCACCCCCCCAUUGAUAUCAGGGUUCAUUUGGCUGAUCUGGCUGGCUAGGUGGGUGUCCUCUUCCUCCCUCACCACUCCAUAUGUGUCCCUCCUGAAGCUGUGUUGACAAGGACAACCACCAUUUAGAGGUGAUAAAGGAAGACUGUUUCCUCGAUCAAGGGUAUAGGAGUCGCUGGGCUCCCCUGCUAGAACCUCCAAACAAGCUCUCAAGGAAGACAUGUAUAGAUAAACAUAGUAGGAAUCUAUUCUCUUUCUAGGAAGAGAGAAAUGAAGAAU
rnacentral:snRNA from 1 species